rnacentral:rRNA from 1 species
UACGUAGGGUGCGAGCGUUAAUCGGAAUUACUGGGCGUAAAGCGUGCGCAGGCGGUUGGCAAAGUCAGCUGUGAAAGCCCCGGGCUUAACCUGGGAAUGGCGGUUGAAACUAGUCGACUAGAAUCUGGCAGAGGGGGGUGGGAAUUCCACGGUGUAGCAGGUGGAAAUGCGUAGAGAAUGGUGGAGGAACACCGAUGGCGGAAGGGCAGCCCCCUGGGCUGAGC